rnacentral:rRNA from 1 species
AGAGUUUGAUCCUGGCUCAGAUUGAACGCUGGCGGCAGGCCUAACACAUGCAAGUCGAGCGGCAGCGACUUAACUGAACCUUCGGGGAACGUUAAGGGCGGCGAGCGGCGGACGGGUGAGUAAUGCCUGGGAAAUUGCCCUGAUGUGGGGGAUAACCAUUGGAAACGGUGGCUAAUACCGCAUGAUAGCCCGGUUCUUCGGAAUUGGUCUCAAAGAGGGGGACCUUUUAGGCCUCUCGCGUCAGGAUAUGCCCAGGUGGGAUUAGCUAGUUGGUGAGGUAAGGGCUCACCAAGGCGACGAUCCCUAGCUGGUCUGAGAGGAUGAUCAGCCACACUGGAACUGAGACACGGUCCAGACUCCUACGGGAGGCAGCAGUGGGGAAUAUUGCACAAUGGGCGCAAGCCUGAUGCAGCCAUGCCGCGUGUAUGAAGAAGGCCUUCGGGUUGUAAAGUACUUUCAGCAGUGAGGAAGGCGGGUGCGUUAAUAGCGCAUUCGUUUGACGUUAGCUGCAGAAGAAGCACCGGCUAACUCCGUGCCAGCAGCCGCGGUAAUACGGAGGGUGCGAGCGUUAAUCGG